rnacentral:lncRNA from 1 species
GCCAAAUCGGUGAGCUAUAACCAAUGAUUUUGGGGGUGGGCCUAGGAUCCAGGCAUUUUGUGGGCCAAAUAUUGACUGGGGUAUGCCAGGGAGGUUGGGGAUCAUCCUAGGUUGGUUCGUUUAAUUUUUUGGGCUAUCUGGGUGGACAAACGGGAGAAAUGAUGUAAACGGGGCAUUUUUGGGCCAAAUCGGUGUGCUAUAGCCCACGAUUUUGGGGGUUGGCCUGGGAUCCUGGCAUGCUGUGGGCUCAAAAUCGACCGGGGAAUGUCAGGGAGGUUGGGGAUCAUCCCAUUAUGGUCCAUUUAAUUUUUCGUGGCCAUUUGGGUGGACAAAUGGGUGAAACGGUGUGAACACACCAUUUUUGGGCCAAAUCAGUGUACUAUAGCCCACGGUUUUGAAGGUGGGCUCGAGGUCCGGGCAUGCAGUGGGUCAAAAAUCAACUGGGGCAUUCUAGCGAGGUUGGGGAUCAUCUCGAUGUGGUUUAUUUAAUUUUUUGUCGCCAUUUGGGUGGACAAACGGGCAAAAUGGUGCGAACGAGACAUUUUUGGGCCAAAUCGGUUUGCUAUAGCCUACGGUUUAUGGGUUGGACCCGGGGUUCGGGCGUUCUAUGGGCC